rnacentral:misc_RNA from 1 species
ACGCAAUAUAUGUUAUAUGGCACACAAUCUUCAGUCUUUGUAGUAUUAGUUGUCGCUCAAAAACCAGAAACAUCAUUGAGAACCAGGGAAUAUCUAUAUUCUACAGGUUAAAAGGCAAAAUGAAAUACAGGUGGCUGAGAGUGACAGCCAAACAUUGGAGAUUCUUCUCUCCACUUAAAGCGGCUUUCUUAGUAUUAGGUCUAUGACAGCCAAUAUUUUACGAGUAAAGAUAUGCGGUCUUCUCCAUUAACGGACUCGAUAUAUGGAAGUUGAAACGACGGCGUUUCGAUGCAUCAUUGACAGCUUCCUUCUCCUACAUCGUAUCUCACAAAACCCAUCAGUUCUGGGCCUUCAAGUCUAGGGUUAUUUACAAAACUGCAUCCGAACAACCAAGAACCAAAACCCACAAAUGAAAAAACAGGGAAAAGACAUUAAGAAAGAGAAGUGAAGCUAUAGUACAAGUGGUAAAUUAUGGUUAAUUAGUCACCUUUCCUCCGAGAACUUGGAGAAGGAGCCAGAAGUAGGGAUUGUGCCACACAAAUUAUUGUCUGACACGUCACUGCAAAAACAGAUCAAUAAAAAAUAAGAGCAAAAAGUUUCGUAAAAAGAACAAGAAGGGCAAUAUGGGAUUUAGAAGAGUUACAUGAUCUUGAGGUUUCCAAGUUUGGUUAGUUCCCUUGGUAUCCUUCCGGUUAGUCUGUUAUCGUUCAGUCU